GACGAACGCUGGCGGCGUGCUUAACACAUGCAAGUCGAACGCUGAAGCUCAGCUUUUGUUGGGUGGAUGAGUGGCGAACGGGUGAGUAACACGUGAGUAACCUGCCUCCUUCUUUGGGAUAACGCCCGGAAACGGGUGCUAAUACUGGAUAUUCACUGGUCUUCGCAUGGGGGUUGGUGGAAAGGGUUUUUCUGGUGGGGGAUGGGCUCGCGGCCUAUCAGCUUGUUGGUGGGGUGAUGGCCUACCAAGGCUUUGACGGGUAGCCGGCCUGAGAGGGUGACCGGUAACAUUGGGACUGAGAUACGGCCCAGACUCCUACGGGAGGCAGCAGUGGGGAAUAUGGCACAAUGGGCGCAAGCCUGAUGCAGCGACGCCGCGUGAGGGAUGGAGGCCUUCGGGUUGUGAACCUCUUUCGCUCAUGGUCAAGCCGCAACAAUGGUUGUGGUGAGGGUAGUGGGUAAAGAAGCGCCGGCUAACUACGUG
rnacentral:rRNA from 1 species